GACGAACGCUGGCGGCGUGCUUAACACAUGCAAGUCGAACGGAAAGGCCCUGCUUUUGUGGGGUGCUCGAGUGGCGAACGGGUGAGUAACACGUGAGUAACCUGCCCUUGACUUUGGGAUAACUUCAGGAAACUGGGGCUAAUACCGGAUAGGAGCUCCUGCUGCAUGGUGGGGGUUGGAAAGUUUCGGCGGUUGGGGAUGGACUCGCGGCUUAUCAGCUUGUUGGUGGGGUAGUGGCUUACCAAGGCUUUGACGGGUAGCCGGCCUGAGAGGGUGACCGGCCACAUUGGGACUGAGAUACGGCCCAGACUCCUACGGGAGGCAGCAGUGGGGAAGAUUGCACAAUGGGCGGAAGCCUGAUGCAGCAACGCCGCGUGCGGGAGGACGGCCUUCGGGUUGUAAACCGCUUUCGCCUGUGACGAAGCGUGAGUGACGGUAAUGGGUAAAGAAGCACCGGCUAACUACGUGC
rnacentral:rRNA from 1 species